GACGAACGCUGGCGGCGUGCCUAAUACAUGCAAGUCGAACGAGAGCGACCGGUGCUUGCACUGGUCAAUCUAGUGGCGAACGGGUGAGUAACACGUGGGUAACCUGCCCAUCAGAGGGGGAUAACAUCCGGAAACGGAUGCUAAAACCGCAUAGGUCUUCGAGCCGCAUGGCUUGAAGAGGAAAAGAGGCGCAAGCUUCUGCUGAUGGAUGGACCCGCGGUGCAUUAGCUAGUUGGUGAGGUAACGGCUCACCAAGGCCGUGAUGCAUAGCCGACCUGAGAGGGUGAUCGGCCACAUUGGGACUGAGACACGGCCCAACCUCCUACGGGAGGCAGCAGUAGGGAAUCUUCCGCAAUGGACGCAAGUCUGACGGAGCAACGCCGCGUGAGUGAAGAAGGUUUUCGGAUCGUAAAACUCUGUUGUUAGAGAAGAACAAGUGCUAGAGUAACUGUUAGCGCCUUGACGGUAUCUAACCAGAAAGCCACGGCUAACUACGUG
rnacentral:rRNA from 1 species